GAUGAACGCUGGCGGCAUGCCUAAGACAUGCAAGUCGAACGAGACGGCCCAAUGAAGACUGCGUACUUGUACAAAGUCGGAUUUGGAUUCCCGUCUAGUGGCGCAAGGGUGAGUAACACGUGGGUUAUCUACCUUCGAGUCUGGAAUAACAGUUAGAAAUGAUUGCUAAUGCCGGAUUAUAUAUAGGAUGGUAUUCUUCCUAUAUUAAAAAGGGAGCCUUUAAAGCUUCGCUUGAAGAUGAGCCUGCGCCGUAUUAGCUAGUUGGUGGGUAAAGGCCUACCAAGGCGACGAUGCGUAGCCGACCUGAGAGGGUGAUCGGCCACACUGGGACUGAGACACGGCCCAGACUCCUACGGGAGACAGCAGUUAGGAAUAUUCGUCAAUGGGGGAAACCCUGAACGAGCAAUGCCGCGUGAAGGAUGACGGUCCUAUGGAUUG
rnacentral:rRNA from 1 species